AGUCGGAUGGCCGAGCGGACUAAGGCGCCAGUCCUUUACGUUGGUGCUGGGUUUGAAUCCCGUCGGUUG
rnacentral:tRNA from 1 species